CCAAAUUUACGUACAUCCCCUUUCCUCUAUUCAUUGUGAUUUUUUUCCUCAUAAUUUAAAUUUUGGGGGGUAAUAUUAUAUGUCCAUCGGAUGAAAAACCGCGGAUCUUGAAGCAUUGGAAACUGCUACGUCAAGCGUAUGCACCCGUUCAUUGGGAGCGAGCCUCGCGUGAACGAUUCCAUCUCAUAGAAGCUUAUCCAUCCAUCUUCCUCGCCACUCCACGGCUCUCCACCACUCUUAUGCCCUCCCCAUCUCCAUCCAACCCAACCACGAACAGGGCACGCGGGAUCGUGCAGCUACCGGCGGCGAGGCCAGGAUGUCGUGAUUACGGGAACAGGGCGGCGCACCCUGCAGCCACCAGUCUAUGUCGCACAGCGCGUGGGGAAGCACUGUCGGCCCGCAUCAGCCACGCGACCAGGAGCACCAGGGCCACGACGGCCGUGCAUGAAGGGGAAUCUCGUCGUCGUGGCCGCCCGCUCUGUUGACGCGCGUGGACGAGCACCGACGCCAUGUCGACCACGCGAGCAGGAGCACCUGGGGCCGCAGCGUCUACGCAUGGAGGGGCACCUCCCUGUCGCGGCUGCCCGCUUGAUCGACACGUGUGGACGAGCUCUGGUAUGACGUGUAGCGGCUCGUGCUGGCGUCCAAAAGCUGAAAGUAAAUUUUCUUGCAAUGCUUGUUAGAGACCUUUGUCUUAAAGGUACACUUCCUCUCGUGGGUUCGAUAAUUCAGGGUCAUCUUUGGGGAAAAGGCGAGAAUCAUUUAUGCUCCUUCAACGGGUCACCAAAGGGACUCUUCAAAUCUUUUUCUUGCGCCGUUGCUGGGGAGGAGUUGUGUGCUAGACUUUGUGUUAGAGUCUUUGUUAGUUUUGUUUUCAAUUUUUGUUCUUGUUCUAGUUUAAUUUUGUUGCAAGUUUUGUUGGGAGAACCCCCCCCCCCCCCCCAAAAAAAAUUAGUAUGGCUCAUAAUUUUUGAGGCUUUGCUACUCCUAGAAAUAGUUUUCAUGCAUGAAUUGAUUGCACAACCUGAUGUUGCUGCCGCUGAGUAUGAGAUAAAACCCAACCUAGUCUAUGGUUCAAUGGGACCAAUUUGAACUCUGUGCUUCUAAGGAUGCUGACAUGCAUUUGCAUAAUUUUUUUGAAUUGUGUAACAUGACACGCAUAAGGGAUUAUGAACAUGACACUUUGAAGUUGCGGCUAUUUCCUUUCUCUUUGAGAGAAAAAGCUAAAGAAUCGCUUAUGGCUUUGCCUAGAGGUAAUAUAACUUCAUGGAUUGAGUGUUGUAGUAAAUUUUUGUCUAAGUUUUGCCCACCUGUAAAUAUUCUGCAAUUGCGUUCGCAAAUAACAAGUUUUAAGCAGGAAGAACGUGAGCCACUAGCGCUUGUGUGGGAUCGCAUGAAGGAGGCUAUAAGGAAUUGUCCUAAUCAUGGAAUGGAAGAAUGGUUAAUUCUUCAUAUAUUUUAUAAUUCCUUAACUCCCAUGUCGAAAACUAUGCUUGACACUACUGCAGGAGGAACUAUUACGGAAAAAACCCAUUGGUGAAGCAAAAGAAGUUGCUAGAUGAUAUGCAAGAAAACCAUGCCAAAUGAGGUCUACUAUCAACAGGGUCAAUGCUACUGAAUAGAAGAAUAUGGAGUUGACCGCUAAACUUGAUAAACUCAUCUCAUUGAUGAAAGAUGGAAGAACUAAGAGCAUGGAGGCACAAGUUGCUGAAAUUGUUGAGAGUCCAACUUUGAUUCUAGCCAAGUUUGUAAGUAAACCGGAACCUAACCCGAUUGAAUAUGUGAAAAUGAUGAGAAGUAGCGAAGAAAAUGCAUAAGAGCUCGAUAAAAGCCAUUUGCCAGAAUAUACAUAUACUGUUGCAGACUUCGUGAAGAUGUUGUCAUUGAAACACCCACUACCUGAAGUAUCAAAUGAUGAAGCAUAUACUCGCUUUGUUGAGCACGUUGGAACUAAGGUACGUGAGUCGAAUGAUGAAAGGAAAAAAGCUAUAUGGUAAGCUAACCGCUAAACAAGAGGAUAUCUUUGAUCCUACUAUUGAGAUUGAGAUUGGUCUAAAUAAGUUCAAUGCAUUGUGUAAUCUAGGUGCUGGUGUUUCCUCUAUCCCUAAGUCUGUUUAUGAUGGUCACAAUCUUGGUCCUUCUGUUACUACUGAAUUAAAUUGAAUAUGGUCAAUUCUACUUUUACGCAAGCAGUAUGGGCGAUGAUGAUAGAGGAGCUUGUCAAAGCUACCUCCAUCUCUUCGAGCCACCCCAUGGAUGCCUGUCCUGGAGCGGCAGGGGGUGGCGGGGCCGAGGACUCGGGUGGUCCGAAUUCUUCCCCCUCUGUAGCCAAAGGGAUCUCCCUUCAGCCUUCGACGGCCGAGGUGUUGGCCUUGGUCACGCAAGCACCAGUAGCGCCUUCCGCGUUGUCUGCGAAGGUGGCCCGGUGCGAGGUUGCCUCCCCUAGCUCGUCAAGGGCAGGGCAGAGACGGGUCCGCUGGCCCGAUCCGCUCUCCACCACAAAAGACAGAAGGAGCCCGCUUUCUGAAGUCUGGUCGCUGAUGAAAGCGCAUUGAGGGCUGUAAAGACAUAUGACGGAUCAUGGAUUAAAAAAAUUUACACUUCAAAAUAUCUUUGGCAAAGCAUGAUAAACUUCAUUACCUCCUCGGUGGUGGCUUCGCCCUGCGCGGCUGAUCGAGACCGCCCACCAAAGAGCCAGAAAGGACGGCCUCGGCGGAGAUGGAUGGUUGGCCGGGCUGAACCACAGAGGCCUUUUUGUGCCUCUGACGGGUUCCAGGAGGCUCGACCUCCUCGACGUCUUCAGGCGCCUCCCUCUUACUUUUGGGGGAGCAUACCCCUCCUUUUCUUCCUCCUCGUGGCUGGAGGAAGCUCGAGUAUCCUCGGAUCUUGUAUCAGAAGGACCACGGAGACGGGCCCUUUCCCUCUUCUUCGUUUCUUUCUCCCCCUUGGCCGGAACCCUGUACGGAGCCGCGGCCAGAAGAGCCUCGAGCUGGGGGGUACGUUCUACCUCCGGUGAUGGUGCCGAACAUGACAAUUCAUGCUCCCUAGCAAGACAUUUCUGGAAGCAAAAGGGAAAUGUAUUAUUGAUCUGCGGAAAAAGGGCGAGAGGCGGCAGAAGUAAAACCAACAUGAGUCAGGCUACUUUACCCCGGGUGGGCUGAGCUCGGCUUUAAAGCCAUAGUCUGGCCCUGCCGCAGGAAUUUCGUUUUGGAUGGUUUGAAAAGUGUUGUCCACAUCCCAUCCAGGGUCAUGUGGAAGAAAUGUUGGACUGGCGCGUCGUCUUCAGGCUUGUAAAGCCACAUCGGAUUCAUCCGGAGUUGGAGAGGAAGUAUACGACUACGGAGCAUGACGUCGAUAACGCCAGGGAGCUUGAUCUCCUAGUUGAACAGGGAUUGAAUCUUCUUCUGAAGUGCCUCCGCCUCCUCUUGACGGCCCCAGUCCAGUCCUUUCCUCUGCCAGGAGAUGCGCCUCAUCGAGGGUCCAACAAGGAAGACUGGGACUCUGACAUGAUCUUCGGCAAGUGGCUCAGUGAUGUAAAACCACUCCCGCUGCCAAGUUUUUAUUGUCUCCACAAAGGUGCCCUCUAGCCAAGUCACCUUCUGGAGCUUACUAAUCAUAGCCCUACACUGGUACAGCGAGGUGCUAUACAAACGGUUUUUAA